UGUCAGCGAGGUACUUCAUGCCGGAGGCGAUGCCGCGCAGCAUCCCAACGAGCUGGAUCACAGUGAACUGCCCGUCGUUUUGCUUUGAACAGAAAAGAGGACAUUGAGUUACAACACGACUGGUUCACGAUGCUACUAGUCUCACAAUUGAUAUAAAGUCAGGAUGGAUUUCAAUAUUCUUCUUUCAGUCGAAGAUACAAAAGGCCCUGCCCUCCCAGUGAAGCCCGGGCUGCUCUGAUUGGCCAGCUGGCUCCACUCUGUUGUGAUUGGUCGACGGCUUCCAGCGCAUGUAGGAGGUUCUCUUGUGUCGGACGGACCCCAGACAUUACACUCCUGUAACGUGGCGACAUCACCAUGGUGACAUCGUCCCUUUGCCGCCGACUUUUUUAACUUUGCAGAACUUUUACAUUCACAACAAACUAGAGGAAAGAGAAAAAACUGAAACAGUUUCUCCUUUAAAAGCGUUGUGCCAUUACUUUUACGAAUUAGUUCACAUUGAAAUGCUUUUGGUUUAAGUAUCAUAUUUUAGUUUUGACAGAAUGACUGAGGGUUGUGUUGGAGUGUUGGUGUUUGUGAGGCGGCCCUCAGGACCCUGGGGGGCGGGGCUUAGCUGGGCCUGGCUCGUCUGUCUACAGCUGUUCCCCCGCAUGGCUGGCGAGGGCUUUACCCCAUGCACGGGCGGCGUCUGGAGCAGCGCUGCAGCUGUGCCUCCAACUGCGCACACCUGCACUCUCCCCACCACCCACCACGACGCCGGAGAACAGAGGAUUCCAGACUUCCACAGAAGGAUCAUGGAGCUCAGGGUCGGGGAGGCAGGAGAACACGACCGCUCCUCGGCCCAGUUCUCCCUCAAACAGUUUGCUGCUCAUUAGCCGAGCGGAUGUUUCUUCUUCUUCUACUUCAUGUACCGCAGCAAUUAAGCAGAAUGCAUUAUUCAUGAGGCCUUUCCCACAAACACACUCCGCCUCCUAAUCUGAGUUUGCAUUUAGUUUAAUUGGAAAGAUUCCUCCAAAGUCUUUGGGGUCAGAUUAGCUGGCGAAUCCCCACAGACACAUUUAGAUCUAUGUGAUUGAAGAGCUACUGUAAUUUCUAUGAAAAUCAGGUUUUACAUUAAAGCCUCAUGGCUCUGAUCCCUCUCUCCGUCCUGCAGGCGGCGGCGGGGGAGUCAGACAACACAAACCGUGUUCAGAGCUUCGACUCCGUCAGCAGUUGUUGCCACGAACUGUCACCGGGAGGUUGUGACGAGGUUCCCUGUUGUUUCCCAGAGAAUGUGCUGUCAAAUGUGUUUAGCCGACAUCUACAUAAACACAAACACCCUUCACACACGUCAGAUUCCACAAAGAGCUGAAGCUUUGUGCCUCCGAGGUCGGAGGCAGAAUAAAGAGUCUGCUGACUGCGCUUCAUGUGUUUUCUGAUGUGACCAUCAGUUUUCAACUGAGUGUUUCAACUUCAUCACACUGUCGAUUACUGUAAAUGAAAUAGGUUUAUUAACAACACAAGGUCAGACAAUAAUCUUCAUCCUUCUUUCUUCAGGACAAACGUUUCUCACUGUUCCAUUAGAUUCCGAGGUCUUUGUUGUUGGAACAGUUUGACAAGUCGCAUUAAAUAUUAAAUUCAUUUAAGAAGCAAA